rnacentral:rRNA from 1 species
AUUGAACGCUGGCGGCAUGCUUUACACAUGCAAGUCGAACGGUAACAGGGUGCUUGCACCGCUGACGAGUGGCGAACGGGUGAGUAAUGCGUCGGAACGUGCCGAGUAGUGGGGGAUAACGCAGCGAAAGUUGUGCUAAUACCGCAUACGUACUGAGGUAGAAAGUGGGGGACCUUCGGGCCUCACGCUAUUCGAGCGGCCGACGUCUGAUUAGCUAGUAGGGGAGGUAAAGGCUCACCUAGGCGACGAUCAGUAGCGGGGCUGAGAGGAUGAUCCGCCACACUGGGACUGAGACACGGCCCAGACUCCUACGGGAGGCAGCAGUGGGGAAUUUUGGACAAUGGGCGAAAGCCUGAUCCAGCCAUGCCGCGUGUCUGAAGAAGGCCUUCGGGUUGUAAAGGACUUUUGUCGGGGAGGAAAUCCCCAGCGUUAAUACCGCUGGGGGAUGACAGUACCUGAAGAAUAAGCACCGGCUAACUACGUGCCAGCCGCCGCCGUAAAAC